rnacentral:sRNA from 1 species
UCAGAAGAGCAGUAAAA